CAACUACUCCCUCUAUCCCAAAUUUCUUGUCUUAGAUUUUUCUAGAUAUGGAUGUAUCUAAUACUAAAAUGUGACUUGAUACAUUUGUAUCUAGACAAAUCUAAGACAAGAAUUUUGGGACGGAGGGAGUACUUU
rnacentral:pre_miRNA from 1 species